UACAGAGGGUGCGAGCGUUGUUCGGAAUUAUUGGGCGUAAAGCGCGUGUAGGCGGUGAUGCAUGUCGGUUGUGAAAGCCCGGGGCUCAACCCCGGAGAGUCGACCGAUACUGGCAGACUAGAGUACAGAAGAGGUAGCUGGAAUUCCUGGUGUAGCGGUGAAAUGCGUAGAUAUCUGGAGGAACACCGGUGGCGAAGGCGGCAUCCUGGACCAACACUGACGCUGAGGGAGCGAAAGCCAGGGGAGCAAACGGG
rnacentral:rRNA from 1 species